CAUUGAACGCUGGCGGAAUGCUUUACACAUGCAAGUCGAACGGCAGCACGGGUGCUUGCACCUGGUGGCGAGUGGCGAACGGGUGAGUAAUGCGUCGGAACGUACCGAGUAAUGGGGGAUAACGCAGCGAAAGUUGUGCUAAUACCGCAUACGCCCUGAGGGGGAAAGUGGGGGACCGCAAGGCCUCACGUUAUUCGAGCGGCCGACGUCUGAUUAGCUAGCUGGUGGGGUAAAGGCCUACCAAGGCGACGAUCAGUAGCGGGUCUGAGAGGAUGAUCCGCCACACUGGGACUGAGACACGGCCCAGACUCCUACGGGAGGCAGCAGUGGGGAAUUUUGGACAAUGGGGGCAACCCUGAUCCAGCCAUUCCGCGUGAGUGAAGAAGGCCUUCGGGUUGUAAAGCUCUUUCAGCUGGAACGAAACGGUACGCGCUAACAUCGUGUGCUAAUGACGGUACCGGCAGAAGAAGCACCGGCUAACUACGUGCCAGCAGCCGCGGUAAUACGUAGGGUGCGAGCGUUAAUCGGAAUUACUGGGCGUAAAGCGUGCGCAGGCGGAUUGUUAAGCAAGACGUGAAAUCCCCGGGCUUAACCUGGGAAUGGCGUUUUGAACUGGCAGUCUAGAGUGCGUCAGAGGGGGGUGGAAUUCCACGUGUAGCAGUGAAAUGCGUAGAGAUGUGGAGGAACACCGAUGGCGAAGGCAGCCCCCUGGGAUGACACUGACGCUCAUGUACGAAAGCGUGGGUAGCAAACAGGAUUAGAUACCCUG
rnacentral:rRNA from 1 species